UCAAGAUGGCGGCCCCCGUGGAUUUGGAGUUGAAAAAGGCCUUCACAGAGCUUCAAGCUAAGGUUAUUGACACUCAACAGAAGGUGAAGCUUGCAGACAUACAGAUUGAACAGCUGAACAGAACAAAAAAGCAUGCACAUCUUACAGACACAGAGAUUUUGACUUUGGUAGAUGAAACUAACAUGUAUGAAGGUGCAGGAAGAAUGUUUAUUCUUCCAUCCAAGGAGGUAAUUCACAAUCAGCUGUUAGAGAAACAGAGAAUAGCAGAAGAAAAAAUUAAAGAACUAGAGCAGAAAAAAUCCUACCUGGAGCGAAGCGUUAAGGAGGCCGAGGACAACAUCUGGGAGAGGCUGAAGGCAUGA